CUGCAUAUCACUGUGAAGAACGUUACCUGUCCAGGUAGGUGCGUUGAGUCUCGUCUCCAGCCUCGCCCCCUUUGCACAGAUAUGCCUACCACCCAAGUGCUAUUGGUGACGAUCAGAUUACUUCGCCAUUGAAGACUGUGCAAGAGCACUGGGCCUCCUGUACCAGAUAUACAAUAUUCAUCACAUCAAGAUGCCCCGUGACGAAAAGUGUGGGUUCAGCAGUACACUUUCAAGAUAGAGGCAAUUAACUGUGAGAUCUCACAGAUCAGUCAAGUGUUGAUACAUACAUAAGAUAGGUUAAGACAAUACUUUAUUAUUCCGCUGCAAAUUUGCAAAUGCUCAUUCUCAGCAGGAAAAUAACUUACGAACCUCUAACGAAACUCUAUAUUUUAUAUAGCUAUUAUGAUGUCAGCAAGUGUACCAUCAAUCUACAUGAGUUCAAGUAGUGAAACCUGGACGAGCCAUUCGUAAUUUUCAUUAAACUGGUAUUCGAUUAUACUAUACAAAUCAGCCAUUGCUAGUUUAAUCUUUAAGACAGUGAACCUCGUAUACUUUAUAUACAGUAAAAAAACAUAACAAGAUGAAUAAAACCAGUGGAAGAAUGUACUGGUUUAUGAUAGCUUUAUGGAACAAGAGGAGAAUAUAUGGGGUUGUCCACAUCAGCAAGUAGAAUCGCACAUCGUAAUUAUAUCAGACGUUGUUACAGCCUGAGCACUGAAUAUUGCAAAGGAAGCGAUAGUUUGCAGUUUGCAGUGUUAAUACACACUGAUUUGUGCUUAAAAAGAGAAAGAGAAGAUAAAAGUAAGAAACUUCAUUGUCAUGGUGUGUUGUCUAUGGUAUCCUACCACUAAACUAGGAUUUAAAAUGGAAUAGCCAUAUUGUCUUGGUUAAACCUACUUCUCUAGAAUAAUGUUUGAAUCCAUC